rnacentral:rRNA from 1 species
UACGGAGGGGGCUAGCGUUGUCCGAAGUUACUGGGCGUAAAGCGCGCGUAGGCGGGUUGGUAAGUCCGCUGUGAAAGCCCGGAGCUCAACUCCGGAGGGUCGGUGGAUACUGCCAGUCUUGAAGGUGCUAGGGGGGAGAUGGAAUUACCGGUGUAGCGGUGAAAUGCGUAGAUAUCGGUAGGAACACCAGUGGCGAAGGCGGUCUCCUGGGGCAUUCUUGACGCUGAGGCGCGGAAAGCUGGGGGAGCGAACGGG